rnacentral:rRNA from 1 species
GACAGAGGUGCCGAGCGUUAGGCGGAAUCACUGGGCUUAAAGCGCGUGUAGGUGGGUCGUUAAGUGUCCGCGUGAAAUCCCACGGCUCAACCGUGGAACUGCCGGGCAUACUGGCGAUCUUGAGGCAUUCAGGGGCGAGCGGAACAAAUGGUGGAGCGGUGAAAUGCGUAGAUAUCAUUUGGAACGCCAAUGGUGAAAACAGCUCGCUGGGAAUGAUCUGACACUGAGACGCGAAAGCCAGGGGAGCGAACGGG